AGCAGCCGCGGUAAUUCCAGCUCCAAUAGCGUAUAUUAAAGUUGUUGCAGUUAAAAAGCUCGUAGUUGAAUUUCGGGAUCAAUAUAUCGGUCGUGCCUUGGUACGUGCUGGUAUCAUUGGUUUCUCCUUUCUGACGAACCAUGAUGUCAUUAAUUUGGUGUUAUGGGAAGUUAGGACUGUUACUUUGAAAAAAUUAGAGUGUUUAAAGCAGGCUUUAGCUUGAAUACAUUAGCAUGGAAUAAUGAAAUAGGACGUUCGAACCUAUUUUGUUGGUUUCUAGGAUCAACGUAAUGAUUAAUAGGGAUAGUUGGGGGCAUUAGUAUUCAAUUGUCAGAGGUGAAAUUCUUGGAUUUAUUGAAGACUAACUACUGCGAAAGCAUUUGCCAAGGAUGUUUUCAUUAAUCAAGAACGAAAGUUAGGGGAUCGAAGACGAUCAGAUACCGUCGUAGUCUUAACCAUAAACUAUGCCGACUAGGGAUCGGAUGAUGUUAAUUUUUUAAUGACUCAUUCGGCGCCUUAC
rnacentral:rRNA from 1 species